rnacentral:rRNA from 1 species
UGGUCAAGUUAUUAAGGGUGCAGGGCGGAUGCCUUGGCACUAGGAGCCGAUGAAUGACGUGAUAAGCUGCGAUAAGCUUCGGGGAGUUGCACGUAAACUUUGAUCCGAAGAUUUCCGAAUGAGGAAACUCACUUAGAGUAAUGUCUAAGUAUCAUUAAGUGAAUACAUAGCUUAAUGAGGGGAACUCAGGGAACUGAAACAUCUAAGUACCUGAAGGAAGAGAAAGAAAUUCGAUUCCGUAAGUAGCGGCGAGCGAACGCGGAUUAGCCAAAACCAAUAAAGUUUUCUUUAUUGGGGUUGCGGACAUAUCAUAACGAAGAGAUAUCGUAAUUGAAGAGGUUUGGAAAGACCCACCACAGAAGGUAAUAGUCCUGUAUGUUAAACGAGAAGACUUUAGAUAUGAUCCAGAGUACAACGGGACACGAGAAACCCUGUGGGAAGCGGGAGGG